rnacentral:rRNA from 1 species
UACGGGGGGGGUAAGCGUUGUUCGGAAUUACUGGGCGUAAAGGGCUCGUAGGCGGCCAACUAAGUCAGACGUGAAAUCCCUCAGCUUAACUGGGGAACUGCGUCUGAUACUGGAUGGCUUGGAUUUGGGAGAGGGAUGCGGAAUUCCAGGUGUAGCGGUGAAAUGCGUAGAUAUCUGGAGGAACACCGGUGGCGAAGGCGGCAUCCUGGACCAAUAUUGACGCUGAGGCGCGAAAGCUAGGGGAGCAAACGGG